CUCAUGCAUAGCUUGACUUAGUAGUCAAAUGAUAUCAUCCAUGAAAUUUAUCUCCAGUCUUCUUCUCCCAUUAUGUGUGCUGGCUUCAUUCUCAGAUAGGUUCUCCUACUCUAUGCAGGAUUAAAUCCAGGAAAAAAGAAGAGAAAUAGCAAUUUAAAAAAAUCUUUCUCUUUUCUGAUCAAUCUCUCCUCUGAUUGGUUCAAACUGGCCCCACUGUGAUUUCAUAACUACCCUCACCACAAUGAUUAUAGUCAAGGGAAUGAAAUGUGUUUCUUGGCUUGGGCUUAAGUCUUACGCCCAUGUCUGGAACUGGAGUGGGAUCGGCCACAUUGAAAGAACACAGCCUGAGGGCAGGGAAGCUAUUGAGCCCCAGAGAGAAGUUAAAGUACUUUUCAUGAAAGAUCAUUGUCUGUUAAGACUCCAUCGCAGAGAAGUUAAAGAGCUUCAAUCACCAUGCUUUCAGGGUCAAUUUGUCUCCGAAAAGGAACAGAUGGGGAAGAAUUAUUCCAUUCACAGUCAGAAAUUCCAAGAUCUUGGACUGGCUGAAAGCAAUGAUGUUGCCAUUCAUCCUUUCACGUAUUCAUUAUGGUCUACAGCUGAGAAGGGCUAUUUGGGGUUUGCUUUGCCUGAUGGUAGCAGAAGAAAACCAAGAGGCCUCUCUACGAAAGCUUGCAGUAAGGAGAAAGGUAAAAUGUUAAGUCUAAAGAGAACCAAAGAAAUUACCUGGUCCAACCUUUUCAUUCUACAAGUGGGAAAACUUGCUGAAAGUUGCUUAAUUUUUCUGGAUCUGAGGCACACAGUUCAUUUAUUAU
rnacentral:lncRNA from 1 species